UAUCAUAACAAAACUUGCCCUCCAAAACACUUUUAAGAACCUUCCACUUUUGUUUUUUUCUUGACAUCAUAUCUUAAGCGAAUUGUGUUGUGAGAUGGGUAAGCACAGAAUCGCCGGUAAAUAUGGUCUCCGAGACAUCACGGCGGCAGAGAUGGAAACCCUAGCUAGCUUUUGUGAAGCUGUCUUGCCUCCAGUACCGCCACCUCCAGAAGAACUUUCCGGUGAUAUUAACCACCGGAAUAAAGAAGCUCUCCGGUCAUUUUACUCAACUUCUGGUUCUCAAACUCCUGUCCUUCGCCAGGUACACACACUUUACUCAAAUGCUCUGUUUAUUUUAAGUUCUUGAAAUAAAUCAAGAACGUGUGAGUGACCUAAUGAUUUUUUUUGUGGUUCUCUUUUGACCACUGUAAACCCCUUAAAUGUAAGUCUUUUUGAGACAAAAAAAGUGAAAGACUUGUUAAAUGGAUGCAGAGCAUAGAGCUGAUCACGAAACGAGGGACGAUAGAAGCUUACCUUGUGACUAGGCUUAUACUGUUCUUGCUUGCUACUCGGAUUGGGACAUUACUCAUCUGUGGAACCGAGUGUUUGGUCUCGAGAUGGCCGUUCGUUGAGAAAUUUAGUGAACUGUCGUUGGAGAAGAGAGAAAGAGUACUUCAGAAACAGUUCAGGAAUUGGAUCUUGACUCCUGUUAGAGCUGGUUUUGUAUACAUCAAAGUUGCCA
rnacentral:lncRNA from 1 species